rnacentral:lncRNA from 1 species
UUCUAAAAUAGAAAAGUCAGCAUCAAAUUUGAUCCAUGCCAAUUUUGCAAUGUUUUGUAGGUGAAGAGAAGAAAUGAAGUCUCAGAAAGUACUGCAGGGGAAGCAUCAGUGAAGAGGAGAAGAGUGGAAGUCCAAGCAGAGACCUCAUGCCCACAGUUGGGUGGUCAGGUUGACAGGACUGGAGCUGAGUGUGUUCACCGUACGAGUAAAGCAAAGCAUGGAUUUGAAAUGAAUUCCUUCAGAGAAAAUGAGUGUGAGUUUAGUCCAGCGUCCCUUACAGUGGGCUGCAACCAAGUGAGUUUCUGGGGACCUGUGGUGCCUAACCCUGAACAAAGAAGAGCAACCUGUCAGGCUGACGGUGCAGGGCAGCUACUGCAGCAAAUGGACCGAAUGGUAAACAAAGGAGACAUGGAGUUGGACAGAAGAGGUCUCUCAAAGUUCUGGAGAAGCACAAUCUUGUCGCCACUACAGCAUCUUUUUGGUGGAAAGAACUGACCUGAAAGCACUAAGUUGUGGAAAAGUAAACUUGCAGCGUGGCUGUCGGGUGGGAUUGUUUCUUGUGUAGUUCCGCUUUUCACAUUGCUUGUCUCAGCUUUGAAAUGCUUUAAAUGAAAUUCUACCUUGUUUAUAUUUUCAAAUUAACGUACUGGAGAUGUUGGGUUAAAGUGUCUUUUUCUUCACAACCUGGAGUAUUUUGGGAAAAGAGCAACAAGCUUUAAGAUUUUGAUCCUUGAGUGUCAUAAAUUGGGAAUUUUGCAGUUAAAAAUUCUGUGAGAUUCUAAUAAAAAUCAACCGGCAUCACCCUGGGACUGCAUGGUAUUUUAAUCAGUCUCAUGCAGGCAGAAAACACCUUUUCCCUCUCAGAAGAAGCAGAGGUUUCUGGUUUCAGAUAGACCCUUGUACUAUGCUUCACACCAUUAAAAAGGUGAA